AAUGCCGUCAGCAAGUUUGGUACAAUCAUCGUUUUACAAGGAAAGUUCCUGCGUCGCCUGUUUAUGCGGGUCAUAAUCAAAACAAAAACAGAAUACCAAACGGAACAGAAAUAAAAUUUCUUUUCAAAUAUGGUUCAGUGAUCUUCUCGUCAAAAACAAAUCAUGGUCGAAAAUAUUUGAUCAACAAUUACAGUGGACAAAAAGUUAAUCCACUUCAAUGAUUAUUAUUUUGCAAAAUCAAUUGCCGUGUUUCAUCGAAAGGAAACUGGGGAGUGUACGUGACACGGUGAAUCGAAGCAACAGAAAAUGACUACACGAUCUGCUUUUGAACAUAGAUUAUAAAUAUAACUGUUUGACAAAGAUAAACGAUGAUGGAUAGUUUUCUUAAAUUAGUUUGAUGACAAAAAGCACAUAUUUGGGCAACGGAAUGGAACAUUUAUUCUGAAUACCGGUCAGCGAGAGCGUCAUAAUCGUUUCUUACGAUGGUUAGAUGUAUAAAUAAAUGAAAAUGAAUAUAGCAACUGAACAAGAUAACGCAAAGAUGACUAGAUAGUAGAUAGAUGGAUAUACACACGAACAGACGGACAUAAAUCGAGCAUGGUGUUUGAUAUACGGACAGUAAACAAGGGUACUGAUCACAUUAUUCACUCAACGUAAAAAGCAGAAGAAAGGGAAAAAUGAAAAAAGCGUACCAAGAAAAACGAGAACAAGAGAAGGGGAGGAAAGAAUGCGAGGAAUAGCGUGAGGGAGCCUCGUGCUGGCAACUAAAGAAAGGUAAACGACCAUCCCUGGACGUGUAACUCUGAAAGCGAAAAGGUUGGUGGUUGGCGGGGUGGAGCAGGAGGAGG
rnacentral:lncRNA from 1 species